rnacentral:rRNA from 1 species
ACUCCUACGGGAGGCAGCAGUAGGGAAUUUUCCGCAAUGGACGAAAGUCUGACGGAGCAAUGCCGCGUGAGUGAUGAAGGUUUUUCGAAUCGUAAAGCUCUGUUGUAAGGGAAGAAUAGCAAGAAUAGGAAUGAUUCUUGUUCUGACGGUACCUUACCAGAAAGCCACGGCUAACUACGUGCCAGCAGCCGCGGUAAUACGUAGGUGGCAAGCGUUAUCCGGAAUUAUUGGGCGUAAAAGCGCAUGUAGGCGGCUCUUUAAGUCUGAUGUGAAAGCCUGUGGCUCAACCACAGAAUUGC